GGUUGUUCAAUGAAUCUAUUGGACAUGUUAUUGACCACAGAAUUCAAAGGAUUCAAAUUGUAAUGAGAGCUCAAACUUUGAAAGUUCACACUGUUGGAGCUCUCUGUCGAGACAGAAUGGCUAGUGCCAUUGGACUCUGAAUCAGUGCUAAGUGUCCCACUUUAGAUCAAGUUUUUGAAGAUUUCUAUAUGUAGAGGUUUGGCAAGAUCAUGAAAAAUAGAAUCUCUAAUAUGAGGUUAAUAAGUUUUUAGUAGUCAUUGGACAAACAAAACUGAGUUUUGAUAUUUUAUUUGGGGGUUCAAAGUUGGAAGGUGCAUUGUCA
rnacentral:lncRNA from 1 species